GCGAGGAAUCUUGGGCAAUGGGCGAAAGCCUGACCCAGCGACGCCGCGUGAGGGAUGAAGGCCUUCGGGUCGUAAACCUCUUUUAUGGGAGAAGAAGUUCUGACGGUAUCCCAUGAAUAAGCCACGGCUAACUACGUGCCAGCAGCCGCGGUAAUACGUAGGUGGCGAGCGUUGUCCGGAUUUACUGGGCGUAAAGGGCUUGUAGGCGGUCCGUUAAGUCCGAUGUGAAAUCUCCCGGCUCAACUGGGAGAGGUCAUUGGAUACUGGCGGACUAGAGGGGGGUAGAGGAAAGCAGAAUUCCUGGUGUAGCGGUGAAAUGCGUAGAUAUCAGGAGGAAUACCAGUGGCGAAGGCGGCUUUCUGGGCCUACCCUGACGCUGAGGAGCGAAAGCGUGGGGAGCAAACCGGAUUAGAUACCCCAGUAGUCC
rnacentral:rRNA from 1 species